UGAGUUUCGCUGUGCGCCUCGGAACCAUCCACUUCAAGUGUCAGAAAAUUAUCUAAAAUUCAUUGUUAUCCCAAAGUAACACUGUUGAACAUCACAACAAGCUAUUGAAGAGUGAACCUUCAGGUCCGCUUACUCUCUGUUUGCACAAUUCUUCAGGAAAACACGACGUGGGCAUAUUGUUACUGCACACCGCGAUAGCUGACAUGCAACGAGAACUAAAAUUCGAAACCGAAACUGAACGGGCCGCCGCGCAGCAAGGCGCCACUUUUGAACUGGGAGACGACGGGACCCGCCUCGCCUCUCAUGAGAAAGAACGUCAAGGCCAACGGCGCGUCGGCGCUCAAAAUGCCUCGCCGCCCGUCUGCGGCCGUUCAAUUGAAGAAGCCAAUUGCACUUCGUUGCCCUUUCGCUUGGAUGCGACGUCGUUCUUCGCACCACGCCAGCUCGCGACAAUGCGGCCAGCUCCGGUCUUAACCGACGCUUCUGCGAACUUCCCGUCGGCAAUGGCGCUAGCGGUUGGUGGCGGGAACGAGCAAGCAGCCACCCGUCCUUCGAAAGCCACCUCUGCCGCGUUUCUAGAACUUUCAGGGACGGGUGAAUCAGCUUCUCGGUAUCAGGCAGAAGUCGUCUUCGUGCUACCUGAUAAGGAUCCUAGCGGCUGGGUCACCGGUAAUCACCAGUGUGUUGAAGAUGCAAGUAAACACGGCUUUACGGACGAUUCAGCUUCGCGGUAUCGCGAUGAAGAGGUUAUUCCUAACCUGCCCGUUGAGGAUCCCACAGCAUCAGUCACCGCCCGCGACGACUUUGCCAAAAAGGUCACCGAGCGUGCCUUGCUAAACGAAGGCAG